AGGGUUUGAUUAUGGCUCAGGACGAACGCUGGCGGCAUGCCUAACACAUGCAAGUCGAACGAGAAAGUUCCUUCGGGAGCAAUUAAAGUGGCGCACGGGUGAGUAACGCGUAGACAAUCUGCCCUUCAGUCUGGGACAACUUUUCGAAAGGAGAGCUAAUACCGGAUAACAAUGCAUGACACAAGUUGUAUAUUUGAAAGCUUUAUGUGCUGAAGGAGGGGUCUGCGUCCCAUUAGCUAGUUGGUAAGGUAAAGGCUUACCAAGGCAACGAUGGGUAGCGGGUUUGAGAGGACGAUCCGCCACACUGGAACUGAGACACGGUCCAGACUCCUACGGGAGGCAGCAGUGGGGAAUAUUGCACAAUGGAGGAAACUCUGAUGCAGCAAUGUCGCGUGAGUGAAGAAGGCCCUUGGGUCGUAAAGCUCUUUUAUGGGGGAAGAUGAUGACGGUACCCCAAGAAUAAGCACCGGCUAACUAUGUGCCAGCAGCCGCGGUAAUACAUAGGGUGCGAGCGUUGUUCGGAAUUACUGGGCGUAAGGGGCGCGCAGGCGGAAUAGUAAGUCGGAGGUGAAAGCCCGGGGCUCAACCCCGGAGGGUCUUUCGAAACUACUAAUCUAGAGAGGGUCAGGGCCGGCAGAAUUCCUGGUGUAGAGGUGAAAUUCGUAGAUAUCAGAGGAAUACCGGUGGCGAAGCGGCCGGCUGGGGCCACUCUGACGCUGAGGCGCGAAAGCGUGGGGAGCAACAG
rnacentral:rRNA from 1 species